AAGUCCCUACCUUUAGUCAAAAGUGAUUUAUGACCCCCCAUAAAACAAUGAUUUAUGACCCUCAAGGUCAAAGGUCAAUGAUUUAUGAGGGGUCAAGUUCAAAGGUUAAUGAUUUAUGAGGGGGUCAAGGUUAAAGGUCAAGGUUAAAGGUCAGGUUCAAAUGUCAGGUUCAAAUGUCAAGGUCAAGUGGGUGUGGCUUACCCGGAAGAGGGUGGAGUUAAGACCUGCGGUGGGAGUGGUUAAACCAGGAAGAGGGUGGAGUUUUAAACAGAAAGAGGGCAGAGUUAAGACCUGCGGUGGGAGUGGUUAAACCAGGAAAAGGGUGGAGUUAAGACCUGACAGGGAACAGAGGAGGGUUCAGUUUUUUUAAGAAAGCAAUGUCAUCUGAGCAGCAUGUGACCAUAUAUUUGAUAGUUUAAAUGUUUACGAUCGUUUGAAACAACUUCCAGAUUUCGAUGUAUUGAUGGCUGGGAAUGUUACGUGUGGAGAUGUGGACACGCACGCACUUCACACACACACACACACACACACACACACACACACACACACACACACACACACACACACACACAUUCGUACGCACUGUUAUUACCAUGUUAUUAGACAUUGUCUUAGUCAUUAUUUGGAGCUUUAUACGUUAGCGUAAAGACUUUGUUCGAUUCGGUCAUGAUUAGUGAAACGCCUGUUUCGAUUGAUAAAAAUAAUAAAACUUACAUUGACGCUCCGCAAAAAAGUCGAGUGUUUCUAAAUCGUAUUCAGUUUUCAGCUAAAAGAAAGAAGAGACGGAAGCCCUUUCUCGAUAUUUUCAUCGUUAUCUACCGUGGAUUGGGAAGUUUUUGGUGGACACGCACACACACACGCACACACACACACACACACACACACACACGCACACACACACACACACACACACACACACACACACACACACACACACACACACACACACACACACACACACACACACACACAUUCGUACGCACUGAAACAACUUCCGUACCUCACGAAAACAUAUUUAAACAGAUGGAAAAAACUAUCGCAGAACACAGUGUCACGUAGCAACUGGUCUUUACGGUCGUUUGAAUCAACAGGUCAGUUUGGGGGACAAAAGGAGGGUUCAGUUUUUACUGACUUCCCAUCUGACAGUUUAAAUGUUUAUGACCGUUUGAAUCAACAGGACACGCACGCACACACACACACACGCACGCACACACACACACACACACACAUACACACACACACGCACACACACACACACACACACACACACACCAUUACCUCUGCUUUACCAUGUUAUUAGACAUUGGUUUAACUCCAUUUAAGCAUUUAAACGUUAAAAGCAUUGCACUUGUACGACGUUGUAAUACUUUUUUUUUACCAGCCGAUGACGACGAAGUGAAAGACGAUGAACUUUGCUUAAACAGUCUUACAAAGUUGGAAGAUGAUUAUCGAGGUGUGUUUAAACCUUCGAAUUAUUUAAUAUUGUGUGUAUUCAUUAUUUUGUUUUAUAGAGGAUUUGCCGUAAGAUCCUAACGCGAUCGUUUUAACACAAUCGCAGUCUGGUGAGUCAAAUGAUUCUCAUUUUACAAGAAAAAAAACAUGCGGUAUACGAUACAUAUAUACAUAUAUUUACUUACAUCUCCGGCUCGCUGGUCUCCCUUAAAGCUGGCGGGUCCGUCAACGGCCGUUCCAGGCAGAGGAGAAGGCUUGAUUGUGCCAAAGACUCCAGACAUCGAAUCCUUGCUCCGAGGGGAAAUCAUCGAAAACGACGGUGAAUGUCCAACAGGCACCCGCUAUUGGUAACACUGGACAAGUCGGAUAUCCUUGCUUGGAUCCUUUUAAAGUUGCCCGAUAAACUGCUGAGAGUUGAUCUCUCCUCUUGUCCAAAGGUUUUUCGUUCAUUUUUACUUGUAAUACUGCCACUAGGGUUGAUGUAGUAGCUCCACAACAUAACCUUAAAGCCUGUGACUGGAUCCGGUCUAUUUUCCCAAGUCAUGUUUUUGAAGCAGAUUGGUAAAUAAUGCAUCCGUAAUCAAUAACAGAUGGAAUUAAAGUUAUAAAUAUAUACAUGUAUUGUUUUCAACGUUAACCUAUCAGCCCCCCAAUCAUUACCCCUCAAAGACCUCAUUAUAUUUAACACCUUUUUACUUUUUCCCCUAUUUUUUUAUUUUCCGGAAGGAACACUCCUGAAGGAAUAAAUAAAGUACUAUCUAAUCUAAUCUAAUCAAAUCUAUUUUGCUGAUGUGGGUUGACUAGUUCAUAUUUUUAUCAAACCAUAUUCCUAAAUAUUUAAAUACUUGUACCUCUUCUAUAUUUUCACCUUAGAGUUUUUAUUUGGAGCUUGUUUGGUACUUUUGUCUUUGUAAAAUGUAUGACUUUUGUCUUUCCAACAGAGAAUCUUAAACCUCAA